GUGAGGAAUAUUGGUCAAUGGGCGAGAGCCUGAACCAGCCAAGUAGCGUGAAGGAAGACUGCCCUACGGGUUGUAAACUUCUUUUGUACGGGAAUAAAGUGAGGCUCGUGAGCCUUUUUGCAUGUACCGUACGAAUAAGGACCGGCUAAUUCCGUGCCAGCAGCCGCGGUAAUACGGAAGGUCCGAGCGUUAUCCGGAUUUAUUGGGUUUAAAGGGAGCGCAGGCGGAAUGUUAAGUCAGCUGUGAAAUCCCGUCGCUCAACGGCGGAACUGCAGUUGAUACUGGCUUUCUUGAGUGCACAUAAGGAUGGUGGAAUUCGUGGUGUAGCGGUGAAAUGCUUAGAUAUCACGAAGAACUCCGAUUGCGAAGGCAGCCAUCUGGGGUGCAACUGACGCUGAGGCUCGAAAGUGCGGGUAUCAAACAGG
rnacentral:rRNA from 1 species